UCACUGGGCAAGGUAGACUCUA
rnacentral:miRNA from 1 species